UGUGUGCAUUUUUUAAAUGAAUUAUACUGAUGUAAUAUGGCUGCAAGGCAUCUUUCAAAUGCACAAUUGGAAACAUUGGCUUAUUGAUCAGAUAUGUAAGUUCAGGCAUCAUCAAGACAACCGGCAGAAGAAAGGAAAAUGGUGAAGCUUUAAAUAGCAUGAGCUCAAAUUUUCAUCAGGAUGGUUUUUUUGUUUUUUAUACUUCUGGCAAAUUUUGCAUCCAUCAGGGUUUUUUUGAGAUCACAGUGUGAGAAACCAGAUACUCACCGUCUACUCCAAUUCUGCCAUCACUGUUAUCAUCAGCUGCUGAGAUGAAACUCUUGGUUUCUGCUUCGGUCAGGGUCCGCGCCCCGG